CGGACUCAGCUUCCCCGCGCGGGGCCGGAAGGCAGCGGGAAGCGCGCUUGCAGCUAGCCCCGGAACCACUGUGGCCGCGAGGCCCGCGCGCCACUCCGGCCGGACUCAGGCCGCGCACGUCCCCGCCUCCGAGGGUGAGUGAACUAUUCCAACACUUCAAUCAAAUAUCCCAGUGAAUUUGCUUCAUCUACGAUGCUGAUAAUUCUUUAUGAAGACCGAAAAUGUUACCCAGAAGUUAAAUCCUCCAGCUUCUCGCUUCCAUACUUCCCUGCUUGAGGGCUUAAGAACCAUCCUGCUGUUUCAGUGUGCCGCUGGCAUGGAAAUAUCAGGUUGCUGCUCAGUUGGAGAGAAGUGAAAAAUUUAGGAAGUGACACUUUUCUACCAGCAAUGAAUCGCAAUAGCACCGCAUCCCAGGCUACCUCUUCCC